rnacentral:rRNA from 1 species
GAUGAACGCUGGCGGCGUGCUUAACACAUGCAAGUCGAACGGGAUCCCAGGAGCUUGCUCCUGGGUGAGAGUGGCGAACGGGUGAGUAAUGCGUGACCGACCUGCCCCAUACACCGGAAUAGCUCCUGGAAACGGGUGGUAAUGCCGGAUGCUCCAGCUGACCGCAUGGUCCUCUGGGAAAGCUUUUGCGGUAUGGGAUGGGGUCGCGUCCUAUCAGCUUGAUGGCGGGGUAACGGCCCACCAUGGCUUCGACGGGUAGCCGGCCUGAGAGGGCGACCGGCCACAUUGGGACUGAGAUACGGCCCAGACUCCUACGGGAGGCAGCAGUGGGGAAUAUUGCACAAUGGGCGCAAGCCUGAUGCAGCGACGCCGCGUGCGGGAUGACGGCCUUCGGGUUGUAAACCGCUUUUGACUGGGAGCAAGCCCUUCGGGGUGAGUGUAC